rnacentral:rRNA from 1 species
AUUGAACGCUGGCGGCAGGCCUAACACAUGCAAGUCGAAUGGUAACAGGAAACAGCUUGCUGUUUCGCUGACGAGUGGCGGACGGGUGAGUAAUGUCUGGGAAACUGCCUGAUGGAGGGGGAUAACUACUGGAAACGGUAGCUAAUACCGCAUAACGUCGCAAGACCAAAGAGGGGGACCUUCGGGCCUCUUGCCAUCAGAUGUGCCCAGAUGGGAUUAGCUAGUAGGUGGGGUAACGGCUCACCUAGGCGACGAUCCCUAGCUGGUCUGAGAGGAUGACCAGCCACACUGGAAUUGAGACACGGUCCAGACUCCUACGGGAGGCAGCAGUGGGGAAUAUUGCACAAUGGGCGCAAGCCUGAUGCAGCCAUGCCGCGUGUAUGAAGAAGGCCUUCGGGUUGUAAAGUACUUUCAGCGGGGAGGAAGGGAGUAAAGUUAAUACCUUUGCUCAUUGACGUUACCCGCAGAAGAAGCACCGGCUAACUCCGUG